rnacentral:tRNA from 1 species
UCCCUCUUAGCUCAGUGGUAGAGCGCAUCACUAGUAUUUCAGGUCCUAUGAUGAGGUCAGUCGUUCAAGUCGGCUAGAGGGAA